GGGCAAUACACUUCUGAUAACACUAUUAGA
rnacentral:piRNA from 1 species